rnacentral:rRNA from 1 species
UACGUAGGCAGCAAGCGUUGUUCGGAGUUAUUGGGCGUAAAGAGCUCGUAGGCGGUUUGUCGCGUCGAAUGUGAAAACCCGGGGCUCAACUCCGGGCCUGCAUUCGAUACGGGCAGACUAGAGUUCGGUAGGGGAGACUGGAAUUCCUGGUGUAGCGGUGAAAUGCGCAGAUAUCAGGAGGAACACCGGUGGCGAAGGCGGGUCUCUGGGCCGAUACUGACGCUGAGGAGCGAAAGCGUGGGGAGCGAACAGG